rnacentral:rRNA from 1 species
GGGGAAUAUUGCGCAAUGGCCGAAAGGCUGACGCAGCGACGCCGCGUGGGGGAUGAAGCAUUUCGGUGUGUAAACCCCUGUUGCCCGGGACGAACAAGCAGAUUUUUCUGCUCUGACGGUACCGGGUGAGGAAGCACCGGCUAACUCCGUGCCAGCAGCCGCGGUAAUACGGAGGGUGCGAGCGUUGUCCGGAAUCACUGGGCGUAAAGGGCGCGUAGGCGGUCUGCUAAGCGUGCGGUGAAAGCCCGGGGCUCAACCCCGGGUCUGCCGUACGAACUGGUGGACUAGAGCACUGUAGAGGCAGGUGGAAUUCCGGGUGUAGCGGUGGAAUGCGUAGAGAUCCGGAAGAACACCGGUGGCGAAGGCGGCCUGCUGGGCAGUAGCUGACGCUGAGGCGCGACAGCGUGGGGAGCAAACA